rnacentral:misc_RNA from 1 species
AACGCAUAUUGCGCUCGAGGCCUCGGCCAAGAGCAUGUCUGCCUCAGCGUCGGUUUCACCCUCGCUCAUGCUUUCCUCUUGUGGGAAAGCACUAGCGGAGAUGACCGUCUCGCUGCCGAAAGGUCUAGCGGGUCGGUUGAAGCACAGAGGCUCCAGCAAACACCCACUCGGGCGCUGGCUAGGUAGGUAGCUCCGGCUGCAUGCCGCCAGACAGCCUCGGACUUGCAUGUGAGCCAAUUAAUCACUAACCUUCGACCUGAGUUCAGGCAAGAGCACCCGCUGAACUUAA